AAUUUUGAAUUGUAUUUGACUCUAAAAAAAUGGAUAACUCAUUUUACACUAAAUUUAAUUGUGUUGGUCUUUUACAGCAGAGACAAUCUGUAAGUAUUGUUUAUCUUAUGCAAAUACGUUCUGUGAUACAGGACAAACCUGUUUCAGGAAACUGUUUUCAACGGCAAGCUUCUUGUUUAAAAUCACGUCUUUACUUAAAACCAUACUCGGCUAACAACUAAUAGUAAAAAGCAAUCAAAAAUUUUAGUCUUAAAAAUACCAAGACGCUUGCUUCUUUCCUUUUGUGUUGACAAAUUCAGGACGAAGAACAUCUCCUGUCUGUUUACUGGAUACCUUAUCUUCUCAAAAAUCAUUAAAAAGAAACGAUGUAUUGCCGGGGCGUCAAAAUUUAGACGUAACACCUUUCUAAAGUAUCUCACCAUUCUUUUAAAAGUAAAAUAUGAUAUUCAGAUAUAUUGUGAUGGUGAAUAUAAUUAUGUUACAGCGAAUUCAUAAAAUGUAUGAUUUUGUAAAAUCCCUAAAUAUUUUAGGAGUUCUAUGAAAUUAUUGAAUAUAUUGGUAAAUUUAUAAAAUCUCCGUUAUUGAAUAUGAAUUUGACAUACAACUGAAAUAAUAGUGUUUAAAAUAUUCCUUUCUCGAUUCAGUGAAUUUAGAAAAAAAAAAGAUAGAAAAAUAACAUAAAUAACGAGAUGAGGUAUGAUUGCCAAUGAGACAACUAUCCACUCAAGUUCAUAUGAAGUGGAUGUAAGCAAUUAUAGGCAACCGUACGGCCUUCAACAAUGAGAACAACCCAUACCUUAUAGUCGGCUGUAUAAGGUACCGACAUGAAAAAUAUGAAACAAUUCAAUUGAGAAAAUUAACAGACAUAUUUAUAACAAAUCAAUUUACGAAAAUAAAUAUGACAGAUAUGAACCAACGGCAACCACUGAAAUACAUGCCCCUGACAGGCACAUAAAGAAUAUGGCGGGGUCAAUCAUAUUUGUGAGUUCAAUCCUCCCUCUUACUCAAAACCUAUUUUAGUUAUAUGGGUUAGCUUUAAAUAUAUUGUAUUUUACAUAAACACUGGAGUACUGCAAAGAUGUUGAAUCAAUUGCAUAUAAUCCUAUUAGUAUUCUGCAUAGAAGAAGUAAUUUUUCCUUCCAAGAAAUAAUAAUGAUAAAGGCAAAGGCGUGCCUCGACCUAAAACAGGAUGGGCAAUGACGUAACAGUAGAUGUCAUUCAAACUUUAUCGUACAAAAAUAAGUAUGGUAUUGCGAGAAUUGCGGGAAAGAAAAUCCAUGUAAAUAUAUUGGGAUGUAUGAAUAGACCGGUAAUUUAGAACAAGCAUGAUGAAUAUUUUACCUGUAAUACCUCUACAUGAUUUACAAGUAGUUUGAAACAGAAUGUCUUUUAUUUACUUGCGUUUUACUCCACAAGUAAUGGUAUAGAAACUUUACAUUAAUAUGAAAAUGCAUGUUCAUUUCUUUCUAAUCAAAAUAUUCUCUUAGUUGAUAUAUAUAGUAUUCAUAUCAUCAAAUGAAAACGGUACACUUUUGUGCAAAUAAAGGCAUCAGUAGUAUACCGAUGUACAAACUUCAUAAAUUGAUAAAGAAAACAAAGCUGGGUUACAAACUAAAACCAAGGGAAACACAUCAACCAUUAGAGGAAAACAAUGGAACAAAAGGAACACUGAAGUGCAACAAAAACAAACUACAUCAUACAUUGGAACGAACUACUUGAUAACAACUGCCAUAUUCCUGACAAAAAAUCCUAAGCAUGUUGUGUAAAGAUUCUAAAAAGUUAUCAAUAUAACUGAAAAAAAAGUUAUAUUGUUUUUUUUUAUUCCAAAGUUCUAAGCUGUAUUUUGCAAUAAUAGCUACAGAUAUUCUUGAGAAGCCAACAUAUACUAGUAAGUAAAAAAAUCAGAUUUUUUUAACUGCACGGAAAUGUAGGAAACGUUGCCUACAACUGUCAAAUUCAAGGGCAUAUUUUUUGGCGACCCUUAAUCGUAUGCAACCGGAUGUGACGUACUAUGAUAUGGUGGUAUUAAACCUACACAGUUUCGAGAUUUUGCAUGUUUGACUUAAUUCUUUCUUGUAUUUAUUAGCAGUUGUUUGUUUGAAAAAUAAGAAAUUAACUGUUAAAUUUUACUCUCCUGUGUCAAGUUGCAAUACAUGUUAAUGAUUUCCUCUUAGACGGUAUAGGUCCGGUUAGAAGAUAUGUGUUUAUGAAAAAAGAAAAAAAUCGACAAAUUCUCAAAUACUCCUGUUGUCAAAAUGAAAAAAGUAUAUUUCUAUAUAUAACAAACCAGUAAAAUAAAACAUGAUAUAAACUUUCAAGUAAUUAGAUCAUUUCAAUUAGUAUACGCGUUUUUGAUUUAACUGUAGUUAAAAGUAAAAUCACAAAAAAUAAUGAACUCCGAGGGAAAUCAAAACCGAAAGUCUCUAAUCAAAUGGCAAAAUCAAAAGCUCAAACUCAACAAAUAUAUGGAUACUUACUGUCAUAUUCCUGACUUGGUAUAGGCAUUUUCAAUUUGUAGAAAAGGAUGGAUUAAACCUGGUUUUAUAGCUAGCUAAACCGCUAACUUCUAUGACAGUCGUGUAAAAUUUCAUUAUAUUGACAACAAUGUGUGAACAAAACAAACAAAAAAAAUAGGUACAAAAGUCAAAAAUAGGGGUACAGCAGUCAACUUUGUGUGAUAAUCUUAAACACUAUUAAACAAACAAAUAUGUAACAAAGAAGCACAUUUAUGUCAACAAAUCAAAUUCAUUUUUCUCUGUGUGAUUUUAAAAUUUUCUGUCUUCUUUAUAUUUUUUCUCGUUGUUUCUAGAUCUGUCAUACUUUUUUUUCGUGGAAUACAACUUUUAGUUUUUACAACUAAAAUUCUUUCAGUAAAAGACAACAUGAUUAUAAUUGGAAUAUAUUUAUAAAAUAUGUAUGUAACAUAGAUACGUCAUAUUGAAUUAAAUAGAUUUGCUUUAAUUAUUGUUUUUAUGAAUAAAAACAGUAUGCUUUAA